rnacentral:rRNA from 1 species
AUUUUGCGGGUAACUUAAAGGCCAUAUAAUGGAGCCACCCUUAGUCUAGAAAUCCAGGAUUAAUAAGAUAUUAUUUAAUUAAUUAUAAAACAAUAAAAAUAUUUUAUACUGUAAAGGAAAUAUAUUUUCAACAAAAAUAAAUUUAAUUGUACCUUUGGUAUCAGGGUUUUUAGAAUAAAAUUUUUAUAAAAUUUUCCCAAAAAAGAAAGAUUUAUCAAAUUAUAAAUUUUUAGUAAAAAUUCAUAAAUUAUAUUUUGAUAGAAAUUAGAAAUUAGACGGUUUCUUUAAUUUGGUUACAAAAACUUUAUUUAAGGUUAAAUUAUAAAUACUUUAUCAUUGAGAAGGAUAAUCUUCUCAAAUAUUUAUCUUAAGAUUUUAAAUUUUUUUAAAUUAUAAAAAAUAAAAUUGUAAAAUAAAAAACUAAAAAAAUGUGUUAAAAUUAAAAAAUUACUAUUUAUAUAAAAUUAAAAUUUUAAACUAGGCCCUUUAUUAACAUCUGUUUACCAAAAACAUGUUCUUCUCUUUUAAUAUAAGAUAAAACCUGCUCUGUGAUUAUUAUGAUUUUAGCAGCCGCAGUAAAUUGUGCCAAGGUAGCAUAAUCAUUUGUCUUUUAAUUGAAGUCUGGAAUGAAAGGUUAAAAUUGAUUAAUAAGCUUUAAAAUUUUAAAUAAAAAAAUUUUAAUUUUAAGUAAAAAUGCUUAAGUUAUUUAAAGGGACGAGAAGACCCUAAAAUUUUUAAAUUUUAGUUUCAUUUAAAAUUAAAAUUUUUAGUUGGGGCAAUUAACUUAUAAAACUUUUUUUUUAAAAACACUAUAAGUGAAAAUAAAAGAAAAAAUUUUUAACUUAAAUCAUAAUUACUUUAGGGAUAACAGCGCAAUAAUGAGUAAGGAGAUCAGUUUUGAAUUCAUGAUUGCGACCUCGAUGUUGAAUUAAGCUAGCUUAAAGAGUAAAAGCUUUAAGGUUCUAGUCUGUUCGACUAUAAAGGCUUACAUGAUUUGAGUUCAGACCGACGUAAGUCAGGUUAGAUUCUAUCUUUUUUAAAAUUUUGUGUGUACGAAAGGAUAAUAAAAAUUAAAUUAAAUU